rnacentral:tRNA from 1 species
AGGGGUAUAGUUCAACGGCAGAGCAACGGUCUCCAAAACCGUAAAUCAAGGUUCGAAUCCUUGUACCCCUGCCA